rnacentral:rRNA from 1 species
AGAGUUUGAUCCUGGCUCAGGACGAACGCUGGCGGCGUGCUUAAUACAUGCAAGUCGAACGGGGUCCAUGCAGUAGCAAUACUGCGGAAGACCUAGUGGCGAACGGGUGAGUAACACGUGAGUAACCUGCCCCGGAGACCGGGAUAACACCGGGAAACCGGUGCUAAUACCGGAUGUCCUCGUCGGGCCGCAUGACCUGACGAGGAAAUGGAUUCCGCUCUGGGAGGGACUCGCGGGCUAUCAGCUUGUUGGUGGGGUAACGGCCUACCAAGGCUACGACGGCUAGCUGGUCUGAGAGGACGACCAGCCACACUGGGACUGAGACACGGCCCAGACUCCUACGGGAGGCAGCAGUAGGGAAUCUUGCGCAAUGGGCGAAAGCCUGACGCAGCAACGCCGCGUGGGGGACGAAUGCCUUCGGGUUGUAAACCCCUUUCAGCAGGGACGAAAUUGACGGUACCUGCAGAAGAAGCCCCGGCCAACUACGUGCCAGCAGCCGCGGUAAUACGUAGGGGGCGAGCGUUGUCCGGAUUCAUUGGGCGUAAAGAGCUCGUAGGCGGCUUGGCAAGUCGGGUGUGAAAACUCCAGGCUCAACCUGGAGACGCCACCCGAUACUGCUAUGGCUGGAGUCUGGUAGGGGAUCACGGAAUUCCUGGUGUAGCGGUGAAAUGCGCAGAUAUCAGGAGGAACACCAGUGGCGAAGGCGGUGAUCUGGGCCAGUACUGACGCUGAGGAGCGAAAGCGUGGGGAGCAAACAGGAUUAGAUACCCUAGUAGUCC